GACAAAUGUUUUGAAAUAUGCCUUUGCUCUCUUGGCCAUUUCGUUGCCAUCCCAGCGUGGACUAUACGGGUAAUUCUUCUGGGCCUGGGAGUACAGCUGCCCACUGUUAGUGAAGUGGUAGACGGACUGAAAGGUUAGGGUUGGUUGGUCUCGAGGAAAGUACAGGGGUAGGUCAAUGUGAACAAGGAAGCAAAAAUCUUUCCACAUCAGCAACAGAGUAAGCUUAGUGAAGCCUUCUGCAUCAUAUUCCACUACGCCAGUUCCAAAGUGACUCAGGAAGGCUGCGAUGUACUCUCUUCUCUUAUGGUAUCCCUGAAUAACAUAUUGUACCUUGUUUGUUAGUAACUGGCAUACUUGGGGUACAUAGUCGAUUAGACAACCUCCACCCGGAAAGGCUGGGAUGUGAAGGGCAGACGAUCCUCCAAGCGCAUGUUCAAUGCGUGGAGACAGAUACAGCUUAGGAAAAACCUGAGUAGCUUCUGCAUCCUCAAAGCUAACAGAGAGAAGUGCAACAUCUUCUCCAGGAUCUUCAUUCACAUCCUUGAGAAGAUAUGUAGGAAUAUUGCUG
rnacentral:lncRNA from 1 species